AUCAACUUUCGAUGGUAGGAUAGAGGCCUACCAUGGUGGUAACGGGUAACGGGGUGUUAGGGCACGACACCGGAGAGGGAGCCUGAGAAACGGCUACCACAUCCAAGGAUGGCAGCAGGCGCGCAAAUUACCCAAUCCCGACACGGGGAGGUAGUGACAAUAAAUAACAAUACGGGGUCCUUUCGGGUUUCGUAAUUGGAAUGAGUACAAUUUAAAUCUCUUAACGAGGAACAAUUGGAGGGCAAGUCUGGUGCCAGCAGCCGUGGUAAUUCCAGCUCCAAUAGCGUAUAUUAAAGUUGUUGCAGUUAAAAAGCUCGUAGUUGAAUUUCGGGAUUAGUGCGCCGGUCGUGCCUUCGGUAUGUACUGGUGUUACUGGUUCCUACCUUCUGACGAACCGUCAUGUCAUUAAUUUGGUGUGGCGGGAAAUCAGGACUGUUACUUUGAAAAAAUUAGAGUGUUUAAAGCAGGCUCGCGCUUGAAUACAUUAGCAUGGAAUAAUGAAAUAGGACGUUCGAUCCUAUUUUGUUGGUUUCUAGGAUUGACGUAAUGAUUAAUAGGGAUAGUUAGGGGCAUUAGUAUUCAAUUGUCAGAGGUGAAAUUCUUGGAUUUAUUGAAGACUAACUACUGCGAAAGCAUUUGCCAAGGAUGUUUUCAUUAAUCAAGAACGAAAGUUAGGGGAUCGAAGACGAUCAGAUACCGUCGUAGUCUUAACCAUAAACUAUGCCGACUAGGGAUCGGAUGAUGUUAUUUUUAAUGACUCAUUCGGCGCCUUACGGGAAACCAAAGUGUUUGGGUUC
rnacentral:rRNA from 1 species